GAGUAAAUAGUUAAGUUUAUGUGGCAUAAAAGCUAAUUCUCAGCUUAGGUGUGAAGAGUAGAGGCUUCGGACCAAAGUUUAAGUAUAUACAAACCUGCAUGUCUGCUUAUUGUCUUAAAAGCAUUUUAUUCUCAAAAGUGAUUUGUGGGGUUAAAUGAUUUUUCUUGAUCAAACGUUCAAAUAACAAAUGUUAAACUUCUUAUCAAAAGUCAAACGCAUUUAGAAAUUUUGACUAUCAAGAUCAGAACCAAUUUCUUUUCUUCUUGUCUUCCAUUCGAAUAGCCAUUUUAUUUAUACGUACAUAGACCACAAUUUUUCCAAAUGUGUAUUUGAUAUUCUGUUAUUAGUUUGGGUACGAAAGGUACGCGAAAAAAAAAAAAAAAAAAAAAACUUUCCUUAAACGAAUAAGAUUUUCGGUUUGGGACAAAAGAACUGGGUCAAUUCUAAAAUUGUUAACUUUGAAAAUCACACACUAGUAAAUAAUUUUGGACAAUUGGAGCACGACAAUUUGGUGAGUGAAGUCUUUUAUAGAAAAUAUAUCUUUGUACUCAAGUUUUGAACUACAUAAUUGAGUCAUUUGAUUUAGUCAAAAAAAAAAAAAAAAAAA
rnacentral:lncRNA from 1 species